rnacentral:misc_RNA from 1 species
GUGAAUCAUCGAAUCUUUGAACGCAAAUUGCACUCUCUGGUAUUCCGGAGAGUAUGCCUGUUUGAGGGUCAGUUUAAAUAAAAAUCGGUGUGGUAGCUGCCUUUCGUGGUGACGCACCGGAUUUGGGUCGUCUUGCCUUCGGUUAAGUGACCUAAAAUUUUGCAUGAUUUUUUUCGAAGUUUUUUAGUGAAUUUACGUUCGUUUUGGAUAAUGUAU